rnacentral:rRNA from 1 species
CCCUUAGAUGUUCUGGGCCGCACGCGCGCUACACUGACGAAUGCAACGAGCUUAUAACCUUGGCCGAAAGGUCUGGGUAAUCUCCAAAUUUCGUCGUGAUGGGGAUAGAUUAUUGCAAUUAUUAAUCUUCAACGAGGAAUGCCUAGUAAGCGCAAGUCAUCAGCUUGCGUUGAUUACGUCCCUGCCCUUUGUACACACCGCCCGUCGCUCCUACCGAUUGAAUGGUCCGGUGAAGCGUUCGGACCGUGGCCUUUGGACGGUUCGCCUUCUGUUGGCUGCGGGAAGUUCGUUAAACCUUAUCAUUUAGAGGAAGGAGAAGUCGUAACA